UUAUGUCUAAAAGGUAUUGCACAAUCACCUCUAGUAGAGGAUCAGGUUUGUUUUCCACUGAUAAUGGAUUUUAACAUGACUGACCAAUGAUUGCACGUCCAUGUUGGAUCUUAUAAAUACAACGAGCAAACUUCAAUGUUUUAAAAUGUUCAAAACUUAAGAUAUUAUAUUUCUGAAGUAUGACGGAAGGAAAAAGUUACAUUAUUUCAUAUUUUAAAAAAAUCCAAUUUCAUAUGAUCAAAUUUAUGUCAAAAAGUUCAUAUUUAUUCCCUCCUAUGUCAUGUGUGAGUACUGUACUGUAAAUGUCAUGGAUAUCAGAUGACACUGAUAACCUAAUGCUAAUUGCAAUAACUAUGCAGAGGUCUCUAGGCCUCGACUUUUAUGGAGCAUGUGAAGUUUGGGGCAGAGUGGACAAAGAAAAGUUUCUCAGCAGGUUCAACAGGUUGCUACAACACAGGCCGAUGAAGUAUUGCACUCACUCAUCCAAAGUGGCAAACAUGUAACAUACACCCUAAGACUGAUGCUGCUUUUUACUCCUUAGUUAUGAUUUAAUCUGAUAUUCUGUAGCCUUGGAGACAGUUUGCAUAGAUUAGAAUGUUAGAUUCCUGUGAUGUCAUCGAUGCCCAUGUUUUGUUUUAAUGUCUUGUGAUAGUUCUAACUGCAUACAAAGUCAGAGUUCAAGUGAGUUUAGUACAAAGAGUACAAUUUUGAACCAGUUCCUGACAUGUCGUCAAAAUCUUGGCUGACCUUUACCACACCACGUGCUGUGGGUGUGCGUAAAUAUCUAGACCGCCACACUGAGCCCUGGUUCCUCAGGAUAGAGGACAGGACGUCAGAUGGGCGAAUCAAGAGCUCCAAACGAAAAGAUUGUGCCACAGAAAGACUGGAAAAAGCUUCCAAAAGAAGCAAAGACAGCAAAAGUCCAACCCCAGGCCUCAGCCAUCUUGUCUUGGAGAAGUGUAAGUGAGACAUUCAGAGAGAUUAUGUUUUGUUUUCUAGUUAUUGAUCAUCUGUAGGCCUGUGUGGAGUUCAGAGGUCUAAUUGGUUUUUGGUUUUCCAGCUGCUUUCAGAAAGAAGAGCAGCAAACGAAAGUCAAGCAGCGAUGGAACAAAACAACCACGCAGUAAAAAGAGCAAGACAUCAAGCUCACAGGAGGAGGCCAGCUGCUCCGUCUUUGAGGCAGAUACACCUUUGCCCAGCACAUACAAAAGUCACAGUAUAGGUAAGAAGUACACACCACACCUGCAGUGAUAGAGCCUCUUUCCCAAGCUCUCAGAGUUUAGCUGGU
rnacentral:lncRNA from 1 species